CCUGGAAUUUCUUCAGCAUUCAAUCUCUGUUUUUUUAAAUUUACUGCAAUUUUCCAUUAAAUCUAUUUUCAGUUUUGCAUUUAAAUUAUACUCAUAUCUGGAGCAAAAAUGUCUUUAUUUAUUUUUCUUGUUAGCAGUCUUAACGAACUGUUUGAAGGUCGGAAAGACUUUGUAACCACUAAAGGUAUUUUAGUAAUUUGUUCCCUCUUAUAUCUUUUAGGAAGUUUAUCCUAUUUUGAAGUCUGUAAAUGUUUUUUAUAACCUAAUUUAAUUUUGUUUCUGCAUUUAGAUGCAUUCUCCUCCACCAUCCUCCACCUCUGAUCGGAAGAUUUCAGGUGUGGUUCCCGCCUCGCCUGCACACGUUUCAAAGUCCUGAUGGUUAGAGACAGACUUACCAUUAGGUGAAGGUAGGCGACUGCCUGGGUCCCCCCGACACUUUUGGGGUCCCGAGUUGAAGACUUUAAAUAUUUCUAACAUUUACAAAUUCAUUUUCUUGGACAUCAUAAUUUAAUUCUUUCAUUCUCCCCCGUAAAUCUGCAUCAAUGGAAUAUUCAGUCAACCCAAUUUAGCUAUUAGAGAGACUCUUCCAAGAGUUUGAAAAGAAGAAAGUGGUUAUAAACCAGCUGAGAAACAAGGAAAAAGCAGCGAGAAAGCUAUAACAUGUUAGCAAGCUUCCAAAAGCUAACAAGAAAAAGAAGAACAGAAUCAAAGGAACUCCAUGUAAAGAUGAAGAAAAUCAAGAAUGCGAAGAGAGAAAAAGCAAAACAAGAAGAUUGUAAUUUUUAAGAAUAUUUUUCUUUCUUUGACACCGCUUCAUAAGAUGUUCUAUCAUUCAAGUAUUUUUAGGUCUUUUGUCGUCUUUAGGAAAAAUGAAAAACGUACACAUGUUACAUACAAGUAUUAGGGCCACCAAAAAAAGAAAAGAUUAAAUAUUACAAGAUUAAAGUUGAAGUGACCAUACAGUCCAGCAAGUGAACGCCCUGAUCACCAGAAGACUAAACUGUUAAAAGCAUCGUGGAUUUCAACAGGAUCUCUGAAGAGCCCAUUGAUGAAACUAUCGGUUUCCCUACAACUGUCCACUUCCAGUCAUUUCUUCCUCUACGAAAGACGAGAUCUUCUCCAAAUCUGUGUGGUGUUUCCGUCUGAAGAGGCCCAUUUUUCGAACUUUUCAAAGUUCUAUGGUAACGUAACAGACUAUUUUCAUUCCGUUCUUGUUUUGUGUUGAAAUAGGAUGUUUCAUCUGGAGGAGGGACAUUUUUAAAACUUCUUAUUCCGUUCCAUGAUGUAAGGUGACGAAUGGGCUUCUCUGGAUGUGAUUAAGAGCAGAAUAGGAGGCUGUCCUGUAAAUGUGUCUCUGAGCUACUUUUACACAUGAAAUUCCUUAUAUUGACACCAAACCCCGGAAAGUCAGCCUCACUGAUAAAUAUUUGAUUAAGAGUUGCCAAAAAUUUCAGAAUUUCUUUGUUUUUGACACUAUUCUGGAAAUACUUCACAAGAUGCUCCACGUCUUUCAUCUGCGAGCUCAGCUCUGAUAAACAGAUAACUUUGGCUCUUUUCUCAUAAAUGUAUUACUUUUUUCUGGUAAAUUUACAAGAAUUAAAGUAAUACAUUUAUGCCUUUAAACAUUUAAAUUUACGAGACAAAAGUCAUAUUUAGCCUGUGACUUUUAGUCAUAAAUAUAAAACUUUAUUCUCGUAGUUUAACAGUUACGACUUUAACUCUUGCAAAUUUACGAGAAUAAAGUCGCAAUUAAAAAAAAAAAAAAA